rnacentral:ncRNA from 1 species
AAAAAGGUUCUUUUAAGAACCAUCAAAUGCUAAAAGAGUUUACUG